rnacentral:lncRNA from 1 species
UUAAAAUAAAUAUUUAUAUUUAUGACAUCCAAAGACAUCACCUUAAAUGGAAGUUGAUACUAUCUAAGAUCUUUUUUUCUAAAUACCUUGCUAUAAAUAUUACAAAAUCACCACCUCUAUAAAUAAAAAGUAAUCCAAUUCCAUGAAACAAUUUUAAUAAUUUUCAUCACCUAUAGCCAAUUAAGAAAAGAAGUAACAAUCAUAUUGAAAAACUUGAUAAUGUUAUCAAUGAAUUAUUUGUUGAAGCUUAGUUGAAAGUUGAAAGACAAGAAAACAUACAAAUCAAUCACACUUAAGAUGAUAUGACAUAAGAUCCAAUCCAAAC